AGUGAACGCUGGCGGUAGGCCUAACACAUGCCAGUCGAACGGCAGCACAGUAAGAGCUUGCUCUUACGGGUGGCGAGUGGCGGACGGGUGAGGAAUACAUCGGAAUCUACUUUUUCGUGAGGGAUAACGUAGGGAAACUUACGCUAAUACCGCAUACGACCUACGGGUGAAAGCAGGGGAUCUUCGGACCUUGCGCGAUUGAAUGAGCCGAUGUCGGAUUAGCUAGUUGGCGGGGUAAAGGCCCACCAAGGCGACGAUCCGUAGCUGGUCUGAGAGGAUGAGCAGCCAGACUGGAACUGAGACACGGUCCAGACUCGUACGGGAGGCAGCAGUGGGGAAUAUUGGACUGUGGGCUCAAGCCUGAUCCAACCAUGCCGCGUGGGUGAAGAAGGCCUUCGGGUUGUGUAGCACUUUUGUUUGGAAAGAAAAGCAGCAGGGUAAUACCCCGCUGUUCUGACGGUACCCGAAGAAGAAGCACCGGCUAACUUCGUG
rnacentral:rRNA from 1 species